UGUACAUCCUUGCCCCACACGUGCCCUCUCCCCCGCGCCACUCCCUCAGCUCCAAAAGGAAAGUUUCAAGGAUUGUAGAGGCCAGUCUGUAGGUCUUUCUGAUUUGAAUUAUUGAGAUAAGCAGUUUGUACAAUUUGCCGGGAAGAUAAAACAUGUCAAGAAAACUAAAGUGAAAUAACAAACUGAACACUCAACAGACACAUGGAUAAUCCUGCUUAGUAUUCUGAACUGGCGCAGAUUUCAUCUAUUUAGUGAAACCCAAGUGAAAAUAAUAAUUAUUUUCUUUUUCACGACCACCUCGCCGCUCGCUGCUUCCAGCGCCGCCAGGCAGGGGCUAGUCAAACGUUCCUCGACCCUCCCUCACCAGGCAGGGAAAACACAAGUUAUUCAGGACACACCAGCACCGCCACCGCCGCCACCACUGUACCAUCCUGCGGCGUUACCCAUAACCGGACGAAAGAGGUGCGGCAUGGCGGUCAACGUGCUGGUGCCUCUCCUCAUUCCCCUGGGCGAGCAGCUCACCAACGUCACCAAGCUGGUGGGCAGCGAUCCGGUGGAGUUCGAGCAGGCCGGAGUAUGAGGUGACGGUUCCUGAGAACACCCGCGCUGACCACCUGCUGCGGCUGUCUGCCAGGGUGCGGGGCCACAGGUGGGUUCCAUACUAAAAUGCGGGUGACAGCUGUGUUUGGAUCCACAUGCCUUAUAAUCAUAGGCCACCACAAUAACCCUUCAUCUCAGUUUCACAAA